AUGGGUGCAGUCCAAUAUGCAUGCCUUUUCUGUACUGCCUAGUUUGGUGGUGUAGAAGGAGCAGUGGACUAAGAACCACGGGAUACCAGCUGGAUUUGGAGCUCAGCCACUGCUCCUUCAUGUGACUGCAGACCAGUUCCAUGACCUCACUUCUACAUUUAUGCUACUGUAGCAUUUCACAAGGGUGACUUUUGAUAAAAAUGGCAUCUUUCUUCAUCAUUCUUACACGGUCCAACAUACCUGUGAAUGGAAGGACUGGAGGCCAGGGAACCCCAUUUGACUGUUUUGACUUCAACUAACAUUUUAGAGAAGAGGGGCAAUACUGAUGGCUGACAUGAUCUGGAGCUGUCGCUACAGGUCAGCACAAAUACCGGAGAACACUUCAGAACUGUGCACGAGUAAAUUGUAUUUCACCACGAGCACUACACCACUCACUCUGGACUUGUGACUGUGUUUGUGUUAACUGUAUGUGUUUAAAUACUGUGUCUUAUUUCGGGACUGAACCCCAUGUUAUUUAACUAUGCAUUACACAUCGUAUUGCCAGUCCUCCAUUAUUAUUUACUGUUGUCAUCAGACUUUGGUUUACAAUUAAACCACCAUUUCACCAGUACUUUGUUGUUUGUCACUGUUUUGAGCACAGCAUCACCUGCACACUGCAACCCACUUUACCACAGUCCUGUAUGAUUCUUUUGUGACGCAUUGUACGGCUGUACUGUAAAUCAUCAAACCAACGUAUUGUUCCACCCAUCUUUGGCUUUUGCUAAACUAAAUAUUAUUUUCCGAUAUUCAAAGCUAAUUUGAUUUUAAUUUAACUUUCUGCCUCUCUCCCCUAUGUUAUUUGCCCGUCUAUGCCAGCCUUACACCUACCCCCUAGCAGGGUACAGUAACAACCCCUUUACGACCUGAAUAAGUCUUACAUCUGCUUGGUGCACUCCGCCCCAGGACUUGUUCAGUCAGGAUGAAUGAAAAGCUAAAGCACAGACUAGGUGAAUGAUAGUGCUACAGUGUGUAAAUAUCCUUUCCAAAUGGUUAAAAAAAAGUAGGUAAUGCAACACACACACACAAAAACACAUUUUAAACAUGGUACCUAUGUCACCAGAAUAUUUAGAUAGACCUUGCUUAAUGUAUCAUACAAGUGUGAUUUUAAGAUCUCAUGCAAGUGGUAACCAUUAGGUCACACAGUAAUGCAUUGUCCUGGGAACACUUACAUAAGACUCCCUUUUUAUUUUAUCAUCUCACAGCAGGUCCCUAAACCUUGCUUCUUAAAGAAAAUCAAACUUCCUGUAAAGUUUUGAAUUGAGAAUAGCAUAACAGAAAACCAUUAUAAAAAAAUAUAGGGUUUGAUCUAAAGGUGUAAUUGCUGUCCAUGAAACUGAGUUUAAAUGUAAAAAUAAAAACCCAAUGUUUUAUUCUACAUAAUGGUAUGUUGCUUGGUUCAUAGUGCUGAGACAAAGAUACAGAGAGACUUGUUCAGCACACACAUGAUAGUGUUAGCAAGCUGUAUUCCUCUCUUACAACUUUAACACUGCAGGCCUUGUUGUAACACUACCUCAGUGACAACAAGAACAUUACUUGAAGAACGGUGGCUGUUUUCUCAUCACGAUACCAGAAGUGGUAGCUUUUUCUUAUUUGAUAGGAUCCUACAGAAAAUAUUUCCAGUGACAACCUGUAGGUAACAAUGUACUUUAGCUAAAGCAUAAUCUUUUUAUUUUUCAGUCGCUGUUGGUGCAUGUACUUGUCAACAGUGUUUAAGGAUACCUUCUUUUUAAUAAGCGUAGAGGGAUGCCAACUAGUCUUAAAAAAACAUUUUAUAAACCAGAGGGAGAGAAAGCCUUCCUUUGUAAGUCCCUGGCAAAAUGGAUGAUAUGCUGUAGAUGGCUUACUUGAUGUGUGAUACAAAAAGUUUCUAUAGUGGGUGGAGUAGAAGCCUGCGGAGCACAGGUAUAAUAUUAUUUCAUUUCAUUAUGGACUUCUCUGUCAUAAGUCAUGCUCUUGGCAAGCAGUGGUAACAAAUUUGUCAGCAGCAGACAAUUUAUUAAAAAUAUUAUUUCGCUAAAUUAGCCAGAUGUUAUUUUAGGAGUUUUAAGAUUUAUAUACAGUAUAUAAAACUUAUAAGCACUUGUAAUGUUGUGAAAGGUAUAGUCAUUAAACAUCAUACUUUUUCACUAUUGAUAUGAAAAAAUCAAUGUUUUACUCGAUUGUGAUAUG